rnacentral:rRNA from 1 species
AACGAACGCUGGCGGCAUGCCUAACACAUGCAAGUCGAACGAGACCUUCGGGUCUAGUGGCGCACGGGUGCGUAACGCGUGGGAAUCUGCCCUCUGGUUCGGAACAACAGUUGGAAACGACUGCUAAUACCGGAUAAUGACUUCGGUCCAAAGAUUUAUCGCCUGAGGAUGAGCCCGCGUCGGAUUAGCUUGUUGGUGAGGUAAAAGCUCACCAAGGCGACGAUCCGUAGCUGGUCUGAGAGGAUGAUCAGCCACACUGGGACUGAGACACGGCCCAGACUCCUACGGGAGGCAGCAGUGGGGAAUAUUGGACAAUGGGCGAAAGCCUGAUCCAGCAAUGCCGCGUGAGUGAUGAAGGCCUUAGGGUUGUAAAGCUCUUUUACCCGGGAUGAUAAUGACAGUACCGGGAGAAUAAGCCCCGGCCAACUCCGUGCCAGCAGCCGCGGUAAUACGGAGGGGGCUAGCGUUGUUCGGAAUUACUGGGCGUAAAGCGCACGUAGGCGGCUUUGUAAGUUAGAGGUGAAAGCCCAGGGCUCAACCCUGGAAUUGCCUUUAAGACUGCAUCGCUUGAAUUGUGGAGAGGUAAGUGGAAUUCCGAGUGUAGAGGUGAAAUUCGUAGAUAUUCGGAAGAACACCAGUGGCGAAGGCGACUUACUGGACACAUAUUGACGCUGAGGUGCGAAAGCGUGGGGAGCAAACAGG